AUUGCUUCUCAGCCUUUUGGCUAAGAUCAAGUGUAGUAUUUUUGUUUUUCUUUCAGUUUGAGGGAUUCAAAGAGUUUAUUUCUUUCAUAGUAACUUCU
ensembl:snRNA U2 U2 spliceosomal RNA